GGAAGGAUCAUUAACAUUGAAAACAAUAAAACCCGCGAAUCUUUUGUACCUAGUUCCUGACCUCUCUGAAACGGGUGGUGGGAUCUUGUGACUGAACGUCUGUAAGUCGCUUGAUUCCUUCACCCGGCAUUUCAGUGGAGUGUGAAUGGAGCCAAAAACUCGUAACAUGACUAUGACUAGUAAAACAAUAAACCGAACAUCUAUUAGCAACGGAUACCUCGGUUCUCACAACGAUGAAGAACGCAGCGAAACGCGAUAAGUAAUGCGAAUUGCAGAAUUCAGUGAAUCAUCAAAACUUUGAACGCAAGUGGCACUUUUGGGUUAUCCCUAAGAGUAUGCCUCUUUGAGUAUCGUCCAUUCAAUUCCAAAUCAUUUAUUUGUAUUGGAGACUUCGAGUGUCUGGCAUUUGUCAGUCACUCUAGAUCGACUGGUGUCUGUUGACCAGACUGCUCUGACCUGCCCAAUGAACCAAUUUCAUAUUGCUCACAAGGUUUCUCAGAGUUGGUCAACGUGUUGCACUACCCUGCAAGCCCUAACAAGCCUGCAACACCUACAUUGAUCUCAAAUGAGGUAAGAGAACCCGCUGAAUUUAAGCAUAUAAGUAAGCGGAGGAAAAGAAACUAACUAGGAUUCCCCUAGUAACGGCGAGUGAACAGGGAAGAGCUCAAACCGAAAAUCAUAGCGGUCUCCGCUACGAAUUGUGGUCUAUAGAAGUAACGUCAGUAAUAGUCCUGGCUAAAGUCUGUUGGAAUACAGCUGCAGAGAGGGUGAGACUCCCGUCUUGGGCUAGGAAUCUGUUGCGUACGACUUACUUUCAACGAGUCGGGUUGCUUGGGAUCGCAGCCUUAAAUGGGUGGUAAAUUCCAUCUAAAGCUAAAUAUAUGUGAGAGACCGAUAGCGAACAAGUACCGUGAGGGAAAGGUGAAAAGGACUUUGAAAAGAGAGUCAAAAGUACUUGAAAUUGCUAAUAGUCAAGCGAUAGGAACUAGUAUAUGGGUAUGCCAUGUUUUCCAGUUGCCCUCAGUGACUGGGGUUUAUGAGUGUAUCUCAGGUCAGGAUGGAUUCGUCUGGUGUCAUAAAGUCUGCAGGGUGGUAGAUCUGCUUGCGGAUCGAGUACUUGCAGUCUCUGUCACUGGGCGGAUUGAGGAACGAUUCUGACGAAAUGGUUUCUAUUGACCCGUCUUGAAACACGGACCAAGGAGUCUAACGUAUAUGCGAGUCUUUGAGUGGAAAACUCGGAGGCGCAAUGAAAGUAAAGUGACGCCUCGUGUGUCAUGAGAUGUUAAACCUGUGAUGGGUGUCCGCAUCGCCCGGCUCUUCCGUUGUGUUGGGUUCGAGGCCGAGCAUACAAGUUAGGACCCGAAAGAUGGUGAACUAUGCCUGAGCAGGGUGAAGCCAGGGGAAACUCUGGUGGAAGCUCGUAGCGUAACUGACGUGCAAAUCGUUCGUCGGACUUGGGUAUAGGGGCGAAAGACUAAUCGAACCAUCUAGUAGCUGGUUCCCUC
rnacentral:misc_RNA from 1 species